AAAUAGAACUUUGCAGAGAGAGUUAACAGGGCGUGAAACCGUUAAUUGGCAAACGAAUCGGAGCCACGAAGUCGUUUCGCUGAUAAGCUGGGCCGGGUUCAGGCCGCGAGACAUCUCGCGGCUGUACUUCCGCAGUCCAGCCUAACAUUGUAAACGUACACUGCAACCAGUUAGACAAUUGGCGAUGGAACCAGCGCUAAUUGGCGUCAGUAGUAGCGGGCGGGCGCUUGCGCCUUGCGCGUUGCUGGACGUCAGCUAGAGGACUAUCGCCAAAUACUGACUGGCAAAAUGAAAACCGCUUCGGCGUUUCACAAAACGCGGCUAACCGCACAAGUGUCUACGCGCUGGACCAUGGAGUCUAAGCUCAGCAUUUUUAAAUUCAAACUUGCUUGCUACCAGUGGGGCAACUCCUGGUGCUUGUACUGCUUUGUCUAAUUGGGUGUUGACUUGGCUGUGUGUCGUUCUAGCGCGCAACGAUUGGGCGCUUGUGCGAGCUAGUCCGCCAUUGAUUGGCAGUGAGUAGGUCGGCUUUCCGAACGACCCGUCUUGAAACACGGACCAAGGAGUCUAAUUAGGCAUCAAGUCGAUCGGUCUUGAAUAGGCCAGACUGGAGUUCUCACUCCGAUUGAAGGCGAAGAGACAUGUGAUCGUAGCACAAAACUAACCGCGCGCAACAUGUGCCUGUUCGUAUAGCAAUGUGCAAGAUGCUGGGCGGAGCAAAGAGAUGCCUGAUUGGUACCCGAAAGAUGGUGAUGCCUGGGCAAAUUGAAGCCAGAGGAAACUCUGGUGGAGGAUUGUAGCGAUUCUGACGUGCAAAUCGAUCGUCAGACCUGGGUAUAGGGGCGAAAGACUAAUCGAACCAUC
rnacentral:rRNA from 1 species